GUUUGGUAUUUUCAAAGGGUAGUUUAUUUGGACAAUAGUCUCAUUAAAUUUAUUGUUUCCCUUUUUAACGUGCAUUCUUUUGGCCUAUUUUUCAUGGCUUUUAUAAACUUUUUCAAACAUACGCAAGAAUCGAGAGAAUAAUAAAUGAACCCUCCUAUACUCAGCACUCCAUUUUCAAUAGUUAUCAGGCCAUACUUGCUUUAUCUUCUCUUUUUUCCCUUUUGCUCUCUCACCCUCUCUCCUUCCUUCUGUCUUUCCUUUCUUCUUUUUCUCUCUUUUCUCAAGCAUUUUAAGAAAACCCCAAGUCAUUUCACUUCCACAUAAUUCUGUAUAAAGUGUAGACAUUUUCUUACAUGAACACAAUGUCAUUUUCACACUUAACGAAGAGAACAUCAGUUCCUUGAUAUCAUCAAAGAUAUAAAUUUCUCUGUCUGUCUCAGAAAUGUCUUUUUCAGUUGGUUUGUUCAAAAACAAGAUCCAAACAAGGUCCAUAAUCUAACCUAGUUGUCAUGUCUCUUUAGUUUCAAUUAAGCGGAGAAACACUCUUUUCCCACUUUUUUCAUAUUAUUGAUUUGUGGAAGAUGAAUUUACAUUUUUUGCUUUCAAAUGUUUUAAAUUUUGUUGCAAACAGAUCUCCGAAGAUUCGCACUUUAAGAAAUCUUUGCAUCUCUUAGUCUUUGCCAGUUUAUAAAAAGCAGGCAGUUUCAAAACAAAAUAACCAGCCCUGAGGGGGAAAGGGGGAAAUUACUCUAUUUUUAUUAAUUUAUUUGGCUUCAUAAUAUUAAGCAGAUUCAGAGGUCUCAUAUUCCAAGGAGAGACUAAACAAUAUUGAGUACAUCAUAAGUAACUCAGUCACAUUUUCCUAGCUUAUCACUAUCAACACUUCUUGCUUCUUUGGCUGCUUCAUUUUUAUCUCUGUAAGGACCUCUGAAAAUUGAAGGUUAAAUGAAAAUCAAGAUGAAUUGAGACUGAGACCUUCAGUUCUCUAUCUUGCCUUCUUACAAACUAAAUCCUGACUUGACUGGAGACUGAAAUGUGUCCAACUUAAAAACUACAUUUUCCAGCCUUUCUUGAAGAUAGAGAUUGUAUUAAGACACAGGACUGACCAGUGAGAUGUAGGCAGAGGUUGUGAGGGGAUACAAAGAAAGCUCCUUUAAAAAUGGAGACAAAACACUUCACAGAAAGAAAUAGAGAUGGCCCUCAAACAUAUGAAAAAAGUGCUCAGAUUAAUUCAUAGCAAUGCAAAUACAAAUUAAAACUACCGUGAGCUAUCAUUUCUCACUGUCAGAUUGGCAUAAAUCCAGAAUUUUGAUGACAAACUCUUUUGGAGAGGUUGCGGGAAAAUAGGCAAUUUCAUGAAUUCAAAAUGAUACAGCCCCUGCAAGAAGAUUUGGACAAUAUGAGCAGAAUUUCAGAUAAACUUACCAUUUAAUUGAUAAAUCCCACUUGUAGAAGUUUAACCUUAAAACAUACCAGCACAAAUAUGAAGUCACAUAUGCACAAGAUUUGUGUAUGUGCAUGUGUUUUAGCCUUUUCUUGAGUUUCUUAAAUCAUAUGAUUGUUGAAGCAAAAAUUAUAACGUUAUCUAAUGUCGUGCUCAUUGUAUGUAGAGGAAAUACACAAGAUUAUUGUAUUUAGAAAGUGGAGAGGGUAAAGAGGCCUAAAUGAAGUGAGGUUUUUACAUUUCCCUUGAAGUGGCAAAACAUUCAAACCAGUAGGCUAUGGUAAAUUGCAUAUGUAUAUUCUAAUACGCAGAGCAAACACUAAGAAAACUAUACAAUACAGCGUUCUGAAAAACACUUCAAAGAAAUCAAGGGGAAUCCAAAGUGUCCAAAUAAUCUGCAGGAAGGUGAGAAAAGAGAAACAGAAUGAAAAACAGAGGAAACAAACAGAAAACAAAUAAUACGAUGACAUACUUAAGCCCUAACAUAUCCAUAAUUACUUCAAAUGUAAGUGGUUUAAAUACAUCAUUAAAAGACAGAGAUCGGCAGUGUGGAUAAAAACCUUUUGAUCCAACAAUAUGCUGCUUACAAGAAACUCAAUUCAAAUUCAAUGGCAUAGGUAGGCUGAAAAUGAAAGGAAAGAACAAGUAAAAUAGCCAAAUUGAUUUCUAUGUGAUUUUUUGUAAGCUUUCGCUAACAUUAUUUAUAGUGAGUGACAUUUCUUACCAAAUAUCUGUGGAGAGUGCAAACUCAAAAUUGUUUUUAUUUUCUGCUAAAGCCCUUGGUGUGUUUUAAAAUUCUCUUAUUUAUUUAUUUUUCCAGCUUUAUUAAGAUAUAAUUGACAUAUAGUAAUGUGUAAGUUUAAGAUAUACAACAUGGUGAUUUGAUACAUGUAUGCAUCAUGAAAUGGUUACCAGGAUAAGGCUAAGUCAUCUAUCACCUCUCAUAGUUACUAUUUUUUUGUGAGUGUAGUGAGAACUUUUUUUUUUUUAAAGAUUUUAUUUAUUUAUUUAUUUUUUUCCUUUUUCUCCCCAAAACCCCCCGGUACAUAGUUGUGUAUUCUUCAUUGUGGGUUCUUCUAGUUGUGGCAUGUGGGACACUGCCUCAGCGUGGUCUGAUGAGCAGUGCCAUGUCCGCGCCCAGGAUUCGAACUAACGAAACACUGGGCCGCCUGCAGCAGAGCGCGCGAACUUAACCACUCAGCCACGGGGCCAGCCCCCUGUAGUGAGAACUUUUAAGAUCUACUCUUUUAGCAACUUUCAAGUAUACAAUACAGUAUUGUUAACUGUAGUUAGUAGUUAACUGUAGUAACAUGCUGUACAUUAGAUCCCGAGAACUUAUUAGUCACACAAAUGGAAGUUUGUACCCUUUGACCACCUUCACCCAUUUCCCUCCUCACCUCCCCACUGGUGCCUGGAAACCACCCAUCUCUUCUCUGCUUCUAUGAGUUUGGUUGUUUUAGAUUCCCAUAUAAGUGAGAUCAUGUAUAUUUGUCUUUCUCUGUCUAACUUAUUUCAUUUAGCAUAACACAAAGUUCAUCCAUGUUGUUGCAAAUAACAUGGUUUCCUUUUUAUGGCUGAAUAAUAUUCCAUUUUGUGUAUAGAUGCCACAAAUUCUUUGUCUAUUUAUCCAUGGAUGGACACUUAAGUUGUUUCUGUGUCUUGGCUAUUAUAAAGAAUGCUGCAGUGAACAUAGUGGUGUGGAUAUCUUUUAGAGAAUGAUUUCACUUCCUUCAGAUAUAUACCCAGAAGUGGAAUUGCUGGAUCAUAUAGUAGUUCUAUUUUUAAUUUUUUGAGGAAACUCCAUACUAUUUUCCAUAGUGACAGUACCAGUUUUCACUCCCACCAACAGUGUACAAAGGUUCCCAUUUUUCCACAUACUCUCUAGCACUUGUUAUCUCUUCUCUUUUUGAUAAUAGCCAUCCUAACAGAUGUUAAGUGAUAGCUCAUUGUGGUUUUGUGUUUUUUUUUUUGAGGAAGAUUAGCCCUGAGCUAACAUCUGCUGCCAAUCCUCCUCUUUUUGCUGAGGAAGACUGGCCCUGAGCUAACGUCCGUGCCAUCUUCCUCUACUUUAUAUGUGGGACACCUCCUACAGCAUGGCUUGUGAAGCCAUGCCACUUCCGCACCUGGGAUCCGAACCGGCAAACCCCGGGCCACCGAAGCGGAAUGUGCACACUUAACGGCUGCACCACCAGGCUGGCCCCUCAUUGUGGUUUUGAUUUACAUUUCUCUGGUGAUUAGGGAUGUUGAGCACCUUUUCAUGUAUCUAUUGACCAUGUGUGUAUCUUCUUUGGAAAAGUACCUGUUGAGUUCCUUUGCCCAUUUUUUAAUCGGAUUAUUUGGUUUUUUGCUAUUGAGAUGUAUGAGUUCCUUAUAUAUUUCAGUUAUUAACCCCUUAUCAGAUAGAUGGUUUGCAAGUAUUGUCUUCUAUUCCAUAGGUUGCCUUUUCUUUUUUUUUGAUCGUUUCUUUUGCUGUGCAGAAGCUUUUUAGUUUGAUGUAGUCCCACUUCUUUAUUUUUGCUUUUCUUGCUUAGCUUUUGGUAUCAUAUUUUAAAAAAUCAUUGCCAAGAUCAAUAUCAAAGAGUCUUUUCCCUGUGUUUUCUUCUGGGGGUUUUUUGGUUUCAGGUCUUACAUUUGAGCUUUAAUUCAUUCAAGUUAAUUUUUGUGAGUGAUGUAAGAUAAGUGUCCAGUUGCAUUCUUUUGCAUGUGGUUAUUCAGUUUUCCCAGCGCUAUUUAUUGAAGAGACUGUCUUUUCCCUGAUGAGUGUUCUUAGCUACCUCAUCAAGUACAAGGUGCCCAUAAAUGAGUUGAUUUAUUUCUGGGCUCUCAAUUGUGUUCCAUUGGUCUAUGUGUCUGUUUUUAUGCCAAUAGCAUACUGUUUUGAUUAUUAUAGCUUUGUAAUAUAGUUUGAAAUCAGGAAGUGUAAUGCCUCCAGCUUUGUUCUUCUCUCUGCAGAUUGCUUUGGCUAUUCAGGGUCUUUUGUGGUUCCAUACAAAUUUUAGGAUUGUUUUUCCUCUUUCUGUAAAAAAAACUGCCAUUAGAAUUUUGAUAGAGAUUAUAUUGAAUCUAUAGAUGGCUUUGGGCAGUAUGGACACUUUAACAGUAUCAAUUGUUCUGGUCCAUGAACAUAGGAUAUCUUUCCAUUUAUUUUUAUCUUCUUUAAUUCUUUUCAUCCAUGCCUUAUAGCUUUCAGUGUACAGAUCUUUCACCUAGGUUUAAAUUUAUUAAGUAUUUUAUUAUUUUUGAUGCUAUUGUAAAUGGGAUUGUUUUCUUUAUUUGUUUUUCAGGUAGUUCAUUGUUAGUGUAUAGUCUAGCUAAAGACUUGUCAAUUUUGUUUAUCUUUUCAAAGAACCAACUCUUAGUUUUGUUAAUCUUUUCUAUUGUUUUCCUAUUCUCUAUUUCAUUUAUUUCUGCUCUGAUUUUUGUCAUCUCCUUCCUUUUGCUGAUUUUGGGCUUAGUUUGUUCUUCUUUUUCUAGUUCCUUGAGGUUUAAUGUUAGGUUGUUUAUUUGAGAUCUUUCUUUUUCUUUCUUUGAGGAAGAUUAGCCCUGAGCUAACUACUGCCAAUCCUCCUCUUUUUGCUGAGGAAGACUAGCCCUGAGCUAACAUCCAUGCCCAUCUUCCUCUACUUUAUAUGUGGGACGCCUACCACAACAUGGCUUUUGCCAAGUGGUGCCAUGUCCGCACCCGGGAUCUGAACCAGUGAACCCUGGGCCACUGAGAAGUGGAACGUGUGAACUUAACUGCUGUGCCACCACGCCGGCCCCCAGAGAUCUUUCUUAAUGUAGGCAUUUAUAGCUAUAAACUUCCCUCUUAGAACUGCUUUUGUUGCAUCCUAUAAGGUUUGGUUUGUUGUGUUUCCAUUUUUGUUUGUCUCAAGAUAUUUUUUGGUUUCUUCUUUGAUCCCUUAGUUGUUCAAGAAUGUGUUAAUUUCCACAUAUUUCUGAAUUUUCCAGCUUUUCCUCCUGUUAUUGAUUUCUAGUUUCAUAUCAUUGUGGUCAGAAAAGAUAGUUGACAUAAUUUUUAUCUUCUUGAAUUUUUUGGGACUUGUUUUGUGGCCUAAGACAUGAUCUAUCCUAGGAAAUGUGCCAUGUGCACUUGGGAAGAAUGUGUGUUCUGCUGCUGUUGGAUGCAAUGUUCUGUAUAUGUUUGUUAAGUCCAUUUGGUUUAUAGUGUUGUUUAAAUCUACUGUUUCCUUAUUUAUUCUCUGUCUGGAUGAUCUAUCCAUCGUUGAGAGUUAGGUAUUAAAGUCCCCAACUAUUACUGUGUUGCUGUUUAUUUCUCAUUUUAGUUUAGUUAGUAUUUGCUUCUGUGUUUAGGUGGUCUGAUGCUGGGUGCAUAAAUAUUUACAAUUGUUGUAUCUUCUUGAUGAAUUGACCCCUUUAUCAUUAUAUAAUGAUCACCUUUGUUUCUUUUGACCAUUUUUAGCUUAAAGUCUAUUGUAGCUAAAGUCUAUCCUUGCCUUCCUUUGGUUACCAUUUGCUCAGAAUAUCUUUUUCCAUCUCUUCACACUCAGCCUCUGUGCAUCCUUAAAGCUAAAGUGAAUCUCUUGUAGGCAGUCUAUUGUUGGAUCUAGUUUUUUAAAUCCAUCCAUCCAUUCUGUGUCUUUUGAUUGGAGAAUUUAAUCCAUUUAUGUUUAAAGUAAUUAUUGAAAAGUAAGGAUUUACUAUUUGCUUUUUGUUAAUUGUUUUCUGACUAUUUUGUAGAUCCUUUGUUCCUUGCUCCCUGUCUUGCUGUCUUCCUUUUUGAUUUGAUGAGUUUUUGUGGAAGUAUGCUUUGACACCUUUAUCAUAAUCUUUUGUGUAUCUACUACAGGUUUUUCCUUUGUGGUUAUCAUGAGGCUUAUGUAAAAUAUCAUAUAGUUGUAUCUUCCUAUUCUAAGCUGAUAACAAUUAUUUAUAGAAUGUCUAUUUUGUGCCUGUGUUUAUAUUCCUCACUGGGGAAUACAAAGUUUAAUAAAAGAAAGCUCCUACCCAUGAAAUCAGAUAGCCUUCUGGGUUAGACACAUGUUACCUGGGCUGGGGAGUGCAGGGUAGGAAAGUCUUCUUGAAAGAUUAGUAGGAAUCAGCCAUGUUACAAAGAGCGGGAAGUUUGUUGGCCAGAAGGAAUGCAUAUACAAAGGAAACAAGAAACAAACAGACAACAUGUUUUGGUAUUUCUGGAAGAAGGGGUUAAUUUUGAAGUUGGCUGUGUUUUUAGACUGGAGAAAGGGAAAGGGACCAGGUCUGGGAGGGUUUAGUUUGUCUUACUAAGAAGCUUGGACUUUAUCUUAUAGCCAAUAGAAAGUCAUUGAUAAGCGGUAGCAUAAACAUCAGCUUUAUGUAUUAAUGGUGACUUCUAGCAACAACAGUAUGGAAUAGGGAUUGCUUCCCUGGAGGUAGAGAGAAGAGUUAGAAGCUAUUGCAUUGUUCUAGGUGACAGAUGGUAAACACUUUGAAACAGGGCAGUAGUAUUAGGGAUAGAGGAACAUAACAAGUUCAAGAAGUAUUUAGGAGGUAGAAGUGUCAGAACUUGGUGACAAUAGGAUGUUUCGGCUGAGGAAGAGAGAACAGUAUAGAAUGAAUUCCCAGUGUCUGGCUUGUGUGACUGAUUGAAUGGUAGAUUAACUGACAUAGGGAAUGCAGGAAGGGGAGCAAAUCUGAUGCCAAAAGAAGAUGAAUUAAGUUUCAGUCCUGUUGAUCUGACACAUAAUUGGAGUUUGAUAGGUGGGUCUAACACUUUGUCGAAGGACUGGGUGUGAGGAUUUACAUAUGUGACGAGGAUUCAAUGUCAUGGCUUAUAUGACUAGCAUGGGAGAUGCUGUGUAGAUUUAUUCAUUCACUGAUUCCUGUUCCAGGGUAUUUCCUGCCAUUAACACUAUCAGGGAUCUGUUGCAAGUGAUAGAAAUCCAGUUUGAAGAAUUUUAGGCAAUUGAGUAUUGGUUCACAACAAGUGGGAAAGAGAGAAUGCAACUUGUGGCAACCUCAGAGAGAGAGGUCAACGAUAUUUUGGAACCUGGAAAGUACAUACACAAGAGUUAACUAACUUUGGGGCUGGCCCCGUGGCCGAGUGGUUAAGUUCGUGCGCUCCCCUUUGGCGGCCCAGGGUUCAGAUCCUGGGUGCAGACAUGGCACCAUUCAUUAGGCCAUGUUGAGGUGGCAUCCCACAUGCCACAACUAGAAGGACCCACAACUAAAAUAUACAACUAUGUACUGGGGGGAUUUGGGGAGAAGAAAAAAAAACUUCCUGUCUUACAAAAAAAAGAGUAACUUAGCAGACCACAGAAAGCUGAAUUCUGUCGACAUUCACCAGUCAGAGAUCACCAGGAACACAGGUGGAGUUAACCAAAGUUAUGUUUAUUUAGUUUCUGCAGCAAAGGAGAACGCCCAGGGGAAUCUUGGAAGCAUCUCACUAAGGGAGAAUUGGGAAGGAAUUCUUAUAGGAGCUGGGAUUGUGCUGCAUAAUUCUAGGGAGGGAUUAGGGAGGUGGGGUGCCAUCUCUGGAUGGAAUAUGCUUGAGAAAUGGGGCAUUUUCAGCAAUUGGCUAUCUCAGAAAUCUUUUUUCAGGAGACUAAAGAAAUAAGCAGACUGAGAUGUCAUUGGUAACAAAGCAGCAAUCACUUAGAAGAAAAGAUUGUUAGUCAUUUUUGCAGCUGUGGUAUGGCCUUGUAUAGAAAUACUGUUUAUGUGAUCUUGUCCGUGUCCCUUGGAAACAUUGUUUAUGUUCUCUUAGGAAUAUCACAGUCUGAUUACCAGCACGGCUGAUUUUCAUUUUCUCAAAUCUAACUGCCAGCAAGAGGGUAACUCCAAGAAGCAGGCCAAUUUUCACAGCAGUAUCCUGGAAAGGCUCAAAUUAGACGCAACGGGCAUGGGUAUGAGUGGAACUGAAAACCUGAGAAAGUAUAUGAAAAUGAAAGUCUGCAUAAGAAAGCAGUUAGGCCUUGUUAUGGACUAAAUGUUCGUGUCCUUGCAAAAUUUGUAUGUAGAAAUCCUAGCCCCCAAUGUGAUGUUAUUAGGAGGUGGGGCCUUUGGGAGGUGAUUAGGUCGUGAGGGUGAAGCCCUCAUAUUUGGCAUUUGUGCUCUUAUAAAAGAGACACCAGAGAGCUCUUUUGUCCCUUCUACCACGUGUGAAACCAGAAAGUAGACUCUCACCAGACACCUGCAUCUUUUUUUUUAAUUUGAUUUUUUCUUCUUUAUUUUUUGAGAAAGAUUAGCCCUGAGCUAAUAUCUGCUGCCAAUCCUCCUCCUUUUGCUGAGGAAGACUGGCCCUGAGCUAACAUCCGUGCCCAUCUUCCUCUACUUUAUAUGUGGGGCACCUACCACGGCAUGGCUUGACAAGCAGUGCAUAGGUCUGCCCCUGGGAUCGGGGCUGGCGAACCCCGGGCUGCUGAAGCAGAACGUGCGAACUUAACCGCUGCGCCACUGGGCUGGCCCCUCUGCUGGCAUCUUGAUCUUAGACUUCCCAGCCUCCAGAACUGUGAGAAAUAAAUGUUUGUUGUUGAAAGUGCUCCGUCUGUGGUAUUGCUGUUAGGGUAGCCUGAACGGACUAAGACAAACCUCUAGAGCUUUCUCUCUGUUCUACAUAGCCAGGCUCCAACUCACGACCCCUGCAGAAGGUUGAAAGUUUCCUCUCUAGAGAGGUUGAAUCAGAGAGACUGGAUCUGGGAAUAUGCGAAAUAGCAAAGGGAAGGGAGGUCCUACUGAGAAUGGGAACUGAGCGAAAGUUUGCUUAGACGCCAGCCUUCUUCUCUGACUCAGCUGUCAGAAGACUGAUUUUUCAGCCUUAGAAAUGGAAGGAUUCUUCUUUUGGGAAACCAGUUAAUCUUACGGAUAUUGGCAGGAGGGAAGGUGGGCCCCAAGGGAAACAGCUGGGUCCCAACCUGAUCACUCUACAGUGAAGCCCAUGCUUAGCUUCAAACUAGCUUUCUUGUGCCUUACUCUUUUUUUUUUUUUUUAGGAAGAUUAACCCUGAGCUAACUACUGCCAAUCCUCCUCUUUUUGCUGAGGAAGACUGGCCCUGAGCUAACAUCCAUGCCCAUCUUCCUCUACUUUAUACGUGGGAUGCCUACCACAGUACGGUGUGCCAAGUGGUGCCAUGUCCGCACCCGGGAUCCAAACCGGCAAACCCCGGGCCACCAAGAAGCAGAACUUGUGCACUUAACUGCUACGCCACCAGGCUGGCCCCAACAUGGCUUACUGUUAAAUCUGGACAGCACUGAAGGACCAUGAGAUAUUUGAGAAAAGCAUUUAACAUGUAAGGGAAAUAAAACAAACAUUAAAAAAUUUAGAAGAUAAGAGACAAUCCAAGGAGCAGAAGAUGAUAUUGAAUCCAAGAAAUAAGAAAAGGAUGCUCCAAAAGUGAAUAUUCAGCAGUCAAUGAAUAGUUUUUGGAAAUUAAAAAUGCAUAAGCUAAACUAAAAAAUUAAUAGAAGCUUUGUAAAUUAAAGUUGAAGACAUCUUCAAAGUAGAAAAAAAAAGAGAGAAAUAUAAGGAAAUAGGACCAUUUGAGCAGGUCCCAUGUUCAAAUAAAGGCGUUCUAAAAAGACAGAACAUAGAAAAGAGAGGAGGAACUAAUCAAGGAAAAAAGUACAAGAAAACUUCUCAGAAUGGAAAUGCCUGAGUCUCCAGAUUGAAAGCAUCCACUGAGUGUCCAGCAAAACGAAUGAAAAAAAAUCCCACACAAAGACAAAGCGUUGCGAGAUUUUAGAAUGUCAGGGUGAAAGAGAAGAUUCUAAAACUCUAGGGGUAGGGAGGGGAACAGAUCACAUAUGAUGGAAAGGAAAGCUGGACCACAAUAAAGCAAUGGCUUCAACAUUCCAAGGAAAAAUGAAAUCCAGUCUAGAAUUCUAUAGCUACUAUUACUAUCAAUGAGACGUGAGCAUAGCAUAAAGCUGUGAAGCCUAUUUUAAUGUCUUCUGGACCCUUCCUCCCAAUGUAGAUGGACUUGGUGAUUAUGGAAAUAUUUAUCUCAUGAAAUUGGAUGGGAUCACCAAAGGAGAGAAUAUAUAGAGAAAAUGAAGGGAACCAAGACUGAGCCCUGGAUGACCCAACAUUUAGAACUGCAACAGAGCAGGGGAAACCGGAAAAGAAGAUGGGAGAGGAGGCAGGAGAGAACCAGAGGAGUGUCCAUCAUAGAAGGUUCAAUGUAUGAGUCCCUGAUUCACUAGGAAAACUCCAGCUCUCCAUCACUAUAGCUGCUUCCUGGGGAAUGAUGAUUCUUUCUGGCUUUCUUAGGAUUCUGUGGCUACAUCGGUUGAGAGUGAUAUACAGUUCUACUUUUGUCUCCAAAGAUGAGAUCUAAGACACGUGGCUUUUGAAGCUUCCUGCUUUGAGGAUGUAGGAAUGUUGAGAGACAUAAUUCAGACUGUUUGGGAAAGAAAACGUGUGCCUCUCCCUCCCUGGGGAUCACUGUGGACCACGGAGGUUCCUAGGAGGCAGUUUCCCCUUUAGAAAAUGGAGAAAUCACCGAAGGGAUUGAAAAAACGCAUUUAAUCGCCUGUUGGAUUUACUCCUCGACGCCAGCCAAUCAACUGCAAAUUCCUAGGAAGAAAAGGCAAGAGGAAUAAUCAUCAGCCCUUGUGGACUCUGGAGUCACCUGCUCCAUGGGCUGUGGAGCAUCGAAGUGCCCCAGAGAGCUGUUUGUCUCUCCGCCUGACAAGAAGGAGGAAGACACAUGUGGCGAUGCAAAAGAGGAAAAUCCAUUCAUAUAUUUUAAAAAUGUUUCCUGUAAUAACAGAAUUCAUGUCGAGGCAAGAGGCUCAACAAGUCCUUGGCUUCCCAGAGGACAGAAAACAUUCCAUGGAGAAGAUGGAGAGAGAUGCUGUACCAAUUGUUAGGACAUGAGAAGAUGGUUUCCCCUCAAAUUUCCCAGGCAACUUGUGCUGUCGUCUUCCACUUGACCCCUGACCCCACCCAUGUCAGUUACCCCACCCAAAAGGGAAGCAUAGCAGGGCACAUAUAGGUGAGGAAACCAAGGUACAGAGACAUUAAAUGACUAACCGCACACUGUGCAACUCUAACCAGAGGAGCCAGCACGGCCAUAACCUAGGCUGUCUGACUCGAGUCCUUGCAUCUCCCACUCUGCCCUGCGAGAGAGAAAGAAGGCUCGGUGGAAGCAGUUCCAGUGUGACCGGGAGCAGGCACAGAUUGAAGAGAUGGUUCAGAGGAGUUCCAACAGACUCCAGUGACUCACGGACAGGGG
ensembl:lncRNA